CCCUUAGAUGAUUUGGGCUGCACGCGCGCUACACUGACCCUAACAAUGAGCAACUGUCUGGCCUGAGAUGGCUGGGCAGCCUUUUCAACCCAUGUCAUGAUUGGGCUAGAUUUUUGUAAGUCUUGAUCUCUAACGAGGAAUCCCCAGUAUGCGUGAAUCAUCAAUCCAUGCAGAUUAUGUCCCUGCCCUUUGUACACACCGCCCGUCGCUCCUACUGAUUGGGUGAUCCGGUGAGCUGUUCGGCCAUAGCAAUGUUUCUUGAGCAGGGCAAUGAAUGUUUCGCAAACCUUGCCACUUAGAGGAAGGAGAAGUCGUAACA
rnacentral:rRNA from 1 species